CGGGUGCACCGCCGACCGACC
rnacentral:sRNA from 1 species